rnacentral:rRNA from 1 species
AUUGAACGCUGGCGGCAGGCCUAACACAUGCAAGUCGAACGAGCGGCGGACGGGUGAGUAAUGUCUGGGAAACUGCCUGAUGGAGGGGGAUAACUACUGGAAACGGUGGCUAAUACCGCAUACCAUCAGAUGUGCCCAGAUGGGAUUAGCUAGUUGGUGGGGUAACGGCGCACCUAGGCGACGAUCCCUAGCUGGUCUGAGAGGAUGACCAGCCACACGGGAACUGAGAACCGGCCCAGACUCCUACGGGAGGCAGCAGUGGGGAAUAUUGCACAAUGGGCGCAAUCCUGAUGCAGUCAUGCCGCGUGUAUGAAGAAGGCCUUCGGGUUGUAAAGUACUUUCAGCGGGGAGGCGUUACCCGCAGAAGAAGCACCGGCUAACUCCGUGCCAGCAGCCGCGGUAAUUC